rnacentral:rRNA from 1 species
GACGUAGGGCGCGAGCGUUGUCCGGAAUUAUUGGGCGUAAAGGGUGCGUAGGCGGUGCGGUAAGUCUGUUGUGAAAUCUCCGGGCUCAACUCGGAGCCUGCAACGGAAACUGCCGUGCUGGAGUAUGGGAGAGGUAAGCGGAAUUCCUGGUGUAGCGGUGAAAUGCGUAGAUAUCAGGAGGAACACCUGUGGUGUAGACAGCUUACUGGACCAUUUCUGACGCUGAGACACGAAAGCGUGGGUAGCAAACAGG